UCAGCUACUACCUCUAUUAGG
rnacentral:miRNA from 2 species